UGAAUACGUUCCCGGACCUUGCACACACCGCCCGUCAAGCCAUGGAAGCCGGGUGUACCUAAAGUCGGUAACCGUAAGGAGCCGCCUAGGGUAAAACUGGUGACUGGGCUAAGUCGUAACAAAGGUACC
rnacentral:rRNA from 1 species